rnacentral:lncRNA from 1 species
UCUGAUUGACCAAACGGCAGGGAAUCUGAAACUCAACCUCACUGAACAAUCCUCAAUAUGAGAUUUAUUGAACGAGUUGGCUGAAUUCAAGAUUCGACAGCCAACAACACAUAGCUGAUUCUUAUUCACAUCCCAUGAUCCUUCCGCAACCAAUGUUGUGUUUGGAGUGAAGGGGUGGUAAUAAUCACCAUAGCUACUGUUGUGGAACUCUAUCAGGAAUCUCAAUCUUCGUUUAUCUUCUAAACAUUGAAUUAAUUUCAAGGACAUGAUUUGUGGUAAAUAUCCAACACCCUCACCAAAAGGAUUGCAACUACUUGUGGAGUUGCAACCCCUUGAAUACUCCAGUUUAAAAAAAGUAUGCCGACGAGAGAAUGCAUUGCAAAUAGGUGUACUCAGCUUUAAGCUUAGUGACAAACUCUUUGGAACAUCAAUCCCCCCGGUACAGACAUGAUCGAGUGCUUUUCCAACCUCAGUGAACUCGUAAUUAUUUUGAGGGAACAUCAACAAGGAGAUUGGCUUAAAAUAUCCUGAAUCACCAGCAGUACUCGAGCUUUCCAAUAUUCCCCUCACCAAACUACUGAUAGUGCUUGAUUUUCUAACUUCAUCAAGCUUAAGUAGAGCGGCAAGAACAACAUGUUCACCCUCCUCUGAGUAAGUAGAACCAGAGCCCACCAUGCAAAGCUUGCCGGUAGAUACUGACCAGAACCCUUCUACUUCAAAACUCAAAGGACCCCUCGGAGAUCUGUCGUCGUACAUGUAAAACUCCAUAUCCGAGGUUUUCAGGAUCAAACUCGCCUCAACCUUAAAGACACCAUCAACAUCAGUGCUAUAGACACUGUGGGUAUGAAUGAAUAGCUCUCUUCUGUUACUCGAUGGAUAAUGGUGAAGAGAUGAGUUUGGAUGAUUCAAUAUGUCAUCCCCACCUAGAAAGUACCCACCUUGGUCUGCAGCAAAAGGGAUGGUGGUGAAUUCUGGAACAUCAUUGGGAGUUGAUUCAGGGACAAUUGAGGCACAGUGUUUGUUGUAAUUAGGGAUGUCAAGUUUGGAGGAAGAGACCAUGGGGGUGUAAAAGGUGGUCGACAGGACCAGGAACAUUGCGACGUGAAGCCAUGAUAGAUAACACCAUGUGCUUGGAGAGGAAUUAGAGGUCAUCAUCAGAUAUUUCUUGGACUAUGAGGAUGGUAAGGCUGGUCUGAACAUCUGGUGGAAUGAAGCGGCGGAUAUUUACUAGACUAGAGGUAGCAGUCAUCCGGCAAAGUUUUCUUGCUUUUAAGAACCACGCAGGACUGAAAUCUACGCAAAUGGAGAACACAUCUGCUCCUGAUUAAGAUGAGUGACAACUGGGAGUACCGGGUCAUAUUUGAAGAGUAAACGCUGGUUGUGCUUGAUUUUUUAUUGAAUAAAUAAAAAUAGUAAAGUAUAAACUCAAUAAUUAUCAAAAUUCUUAUUAUAUAAAAAAAUUAUCUUAAUUUAAUAAUUUAAUUUAUUAAAUAAAAUUUAUAUUAUUCUCUAAUAUAUUAUUAAAAAUCAAACACAAUUAUAAAUAUAAAAAAAUUAUUAUUCAUGAAAUAAAUAAGCCAUGUCAAUUGUCUUGGGAUAGCACCAUAGAGUCAAUGGAUCUCUAACAACAAUUAGGAUUGGUGUUUGGUUAAAUUUAGAUGAGAUAGAUUUGAUAAUUUAUGUUUAACUCAUGAUUAAACACAAGUAUAUUAAGAUUAAUAAUUCACAAAAUUUAGUUAUUGAAUUCAAAUAUAUUGAAUUCGAUAUUUUGCUAGACUCAUGAUGAUUCUCUAGGCUCAAUAAAUAACUGAAUCUAAACAUAUUAAUUCUCAUAUUUCGCUAAAUUCAUGAUCCUCGAAGCUUAAUUCGUAGGUAAACUUAAGUAUAUUAGAUGUAGUAUUAUCAUCAUCAUGUUUAAUUGAGUUAUUAUCUUGUUACAAGGCUGAGCUCUUUUAACACAUAAAAAUAAAAAAUAAAAAUAAAAAUUGUCAUAACACAUGGUUUAUGCCAUAAUCAGUAUAGAUAUUCUUGGAUUUGUUGUUUGGGUCAUUAUAUGUUUAACGUAGACUUAGGCAUUGAUAAAUUCUUUUUUUCAUAAAUUCUUUUCUUAAAAUAGCAAAAAAAUAUGUUUAUAUACAAGUAAAAUAUCCUAAAUAGUGAAAUCCUUAUUAAAUUAAAAGUUUUUCUUAUUAAAUAAGAAUAGAAAUUCCUAAUUUUAACUUGAAAACGAAAACAACUAGCAAGCUAGCUGCUCCUGUGUAUAUAGAAUUUUAGAAAAAUCUAGAAAAAAUUAAAUCUGAUUUAAUAAUAGAACAAAAAAACUAUGCUUAUUUUUAACAAUUAAGAAAAAUAAGUAUCCAAGAAUAAUGAAAAUAGGGCCGCCGAAGUCGGUAGUCAAUGAAUCUUUGCACAUGGAGAGGUGUAACAUUUAUUAAUUAGUUCUGAAUCCAAUUGACAUAAAUUAAAUGCUACAUUUAAGGUGCAUCACGGGGCAUAUCGGAUUAUCAUGAUAAAACUGAUUAAAUUAAUUAAUCUAAAUGAAUUUCUACAUUAUUCAUCAAAAAAACAAAAAAAAAAUAAGAAAUUUAAAAUGUCAGAGAUUUCAUUUUCAGCAAAAGAGCAAAGACUUGGAACUUUCCAAGCAAAUCCAAGUCUACUCUACGCAAGUGAUAUGUCGUUGAGGUUUUGUAUAACAAGACAAAUGGAGUUGACCAUGGAGGUCUUGCGACCCAAUUUUUAUGCUAGGUUUUUUAAUAUAUAUAUAUAUUACUGAAAAAUAUUUUGUAGAUAUUCCAUAUUUGUUUUUUUAAAAUAUAUAUUUUUUAUAUUUUUUGCUGUAAAAAAUAUUAUAUAUUGAUCAAGAAAAAAUAUUUUAUAAUUAAUCUUUGAAACUUAAUUUAUUUAUUAAAAAUUAUUUUCAAAUUAUAAAGUCUCAUAAAGUAUUUUAAAAAUAAUAAUUAUUUUAUAAUAUCAUCUAAUAAUUUCAACUAUAUUGUCAUCAAUAUCUUAAUACCUUCUUUUUUUUUUUUAUCAUUACCACAAAUAUUUUUAUCUCAUCUCAUCUCAUUAUUACUAUUAUCAUCAUCUUAAUAUUUUUUUUAUAUUUGUAGCUGUAAAAUAUUUUAUAUUGAUUAAGAAAAAAUAUUUUAUUGUUAAUCUUCAAACUUAAUUUAUUUAUUAAAAAAUAUUUUCAACUCAUAAAAUAUUAUAAAAUAUUUAUAAAUAAUUAUUAUUUUACAAUAUCAUUUAACAAUUUCAAUUAAUAUCUCCAUUUCAUUAUCACCUUAUAAUCACCUUCUUCUUUUUCUAAUUUUUUUUAUUGUCAUCACCAUUUUAAUAUCACUUUUCUUUUUAUCAUUAUCACGAUUAUUUUUAUCUCAUCUUGUUAUUACUAUUAUCGCAACUAGAACCACCUUUUUUUUUAUUAUCGUUGAAUUAAUUUGGUGAUGAAUGCAGAAAUCGAUGUAUUGGCUCAUAGUAAGACGUGGUCUCUGGUUUAUUUUGAUCAGUCAAUGAAUAUUGUUUGCUGCAAGUGGGUGUUCAAUAUUAAACAGAAAGCUAAUGACUCUUAUUAAUUAGCAUUUUAAGGCUUUGUUUGGUAGCCAAAAGGUCUAAUCACAAAAAAAAAAAAAAAAACAUUUUGACUUUGAUGACACUUUCAGUGAUCUGGCAACCACUGCUUGAACCAAUUUGUUUCCUGCUUUUAUAUAUAAAAAAAAAUCCAGGACUUAACUGAACCGAGCUGAACCAAUUUGGUUUGAACAAAAUUUCAGUUUGCUCUAGUUUAUAUUUUUCCUAGUGCAAGCUUGAAAUUGCACGCAGUUGUUUAGCCUUGCAAUGUUUAUAUCUGUGCCUGUUGUAAAAUUUGAUGAUAUCCAGGUUAAAAACCUUAAAAUCUACACACACAUAUAAUGGUUACAUAAUUUAUCCACAAUGAACAGCGUUUUCAAUCAAAUAAUCAACUUGACGUUUUCCAAUUUCACAACAGAGCACAAAGACUUUCUACCAACGGAGUUAACACUUGCCAUCUAUCUUUUAAGUUCAACAGCAACGAUGAAAAUGGCCGAAAUCGUAUGAUGCUUCUCCGUAUUUCACCCCAAAUCUGAGCAAAGACUCAUGUUUAAUGGAGUUGAAGCUGUUAAAACGCACCUUCAUUUACUACAAACAGGAAGCUACAAAGCUUCAACUCAUGUUUAGUGCAUCUUGAAUUGCUAGAGCAUAUAAAUUGUCUUCCAGUCUACUUGUAAUUACGAAUGAAGAUAUGAUCAUGCAGGGAAGUCUUUGCAAGCAAGAGAUAUAUAAAGUCAGGAUUUGGAAUCGGCAGCAUUCACAACAUAAACCUUUUCGCUUCCACAGAUGUAUAUACACACAGGUAGAAACACUGUGUUGACAUGUAAAAUCACACAUGAAGAUUUAUUAGUCAUUUUAUAAAAUCACAUGCUCGCAAAAGUUUGAACCACAAAUUAUGCAUCACUAGCCACUGGUACUUCCUCGUAUCCUUCUAGCUCCUUGAAUCUUUUUGGCAGGAAACAACGACCACCGAAGCGCUGCUGCAGGUAGACGAUAGCAGCAAGAAGAAGGCCCACUAGAGGAAUAAUGAGAUCCCAUGCAGUGGAAUAAUAAUCUCCACCUGGGUUGGCAUACAUGUAUGAACCAUCAAAAUCUUCAACAUAGUAGUUAGCCCUGUAUAGAUCGUAUGCAUGCGGGAGCAAACGCACAAAUGUGGUUCCUAUGUAGAAGAAACGAGAGAGGGCAUUUUCUGUGGAGUUGUGGAAAAUGUUGAGGAGGAUUUGAGGGAAGAGAAAACCAUCGAGUACCAAACCACCAUAAGAUCUUAAACCCACCCAAAGGGAACGCUGAUAAGUGCUGCUGUAAGCGUACUCCAUGCCCUCACCCACCGUGUUGUUCCUCCAAUUCACAUACACAGCAAUUAAACCUCCAGAUAUAUAUAGUGGUAGAGACAAAUAGAGUGUCCUCUUCUCAGGAGCCAAGAACGCCUUUUGCUUCCCAUCAGCGAAUCGUGCAGACCAUACAAGCUGCAGAAGUCGGAACUGCAGCAGGAAAGCUACCAUCGUGAUUACCCUUACAAUUACCUCAUUCGCUUCCAACCAUCCACCACUCUGUAGAAGGAAUGUUGUGCGACUUUCCUUUGGCACAAACAAAGCUUCAAAAUUCAGCAUUAGAGGGAUCAUGCGCCCGAGAGUAAGGACCAGAAGCAUGAUAAGUGAGAUGAAAGGGAAAACAGCGGGAUGCUUUUUCACAUACAAGAUCUGGUAUCCCACAAAGACACAAACGAGAGUAUUAGAGAUCAAAGACAUGAUGAUCUCCCGAUCCAUCCUCCGUAUUGACUCCCUCGAAUGCUGACGGUAAAAUGAAGCUGCAGAAAAAGAAAGAGGCUCGAAGUACAGAGGAUCGGAUUUUUUCCCUGUGUAUUCAAUGGUUCCCUGGAUAUAAUCAUUUGAAUCUACUGGAGGGAACUGGACAUUUAUAAGAAUCUUACAGUCCAUUGAAUCAUUGUCUGAUGUCCGAUUGUUUGAGUCAAGAUAUCUGCAGCCCACCAUACAAAGUUCUCCUGUUUCAGCAUCAUAAAUUCCUUCAGAGAAGACUUGAACAGGAGUAGACUCGUUCAGCGGGAAGCUCAUGCUGUAGCUGAUGUUCAGUGGGAUGCUGUGGUUGGUUUUUCCUUUAACCGGAGAGGAAGCACCCCUCAAGCUUGAUGACACCACAAAGCUGUUUUGUCGAGAAAUUUGAUCACCCACAGCGAUGGGCUGAGAGAAGCCCCAUCCUAUUCUUCUUCUCUUUGAGUCCCUGACCACCAUAUUGAACUUCAUGUCAUUCGAAGUUGCAUCUGGAUGCCGCUUUCCUUUGUUCUUUCUGGGCUGCUUCUCUGAGCAUGACUUUCUUGCUUUGUCAACAACAGUGUACUGGUACUUCGACCCGGGGAUCCCAGAUACAAAAUUAUCAUAACUUCGAAACAUGAUCGUAUUGAAGUAACCCAGAUCAUUCUCACGUUUGUUACUCCAAAUAUGCCCCAUCAUACCACUAGUAUUUCUGAUUGACCAAACGGCAGGGAAUCUCAAACUCAACCUCACUGAACAAUCCUCAAUAUGAGAUUUAUUGAACGAGUUGGCUGAAUUCAAGAUUCGACAGCCAACAACACACAGCUGAUUCUUAUUCACAUCCCAUGAUCCUUCCGCAACCAAUGUUGUGUUUGGAGUGAAGGGUUGGUAAUAAUCAGCAUAGCUACUGUUGUGGAAUUCUAUCAGGAAUCUCAAACUUCG